rnacentral:rRNA from 1 species
GAUGAACGCUGGCGGCGUGCCUAAUACAUGCAAGUCGAGCGAAUGAAGAGGAGCUUGCUCCUCUGAUUUAGCGGCGGACGGGUGAGUAACACGUGGGUAAUCUGCCUGUAAGACGGGGAUAACUCCGGGAAACCGGGGCUAAUACCGGAUAAUAAGAAGAAACGCAUGUUUCUUUUUUGAAAGUCGGUUUCGGCUGACACUUACAGAUGAGCCCGCGGCGCAUUAGCUAGUUGGUGAGGUAACGGCUCACCAAGGCUACGAUGCGUAGCCGACCUGAGAGGGUGAUCGGCCACACUGGGACUGAGACACGGCCCAGACUCCUACGGGAGGCAGCAGUAGGGAAUCUUCGGCAAUGGGCGAAAGCCUGGCCGAGCAACGCCGCGUGAGCGAUGAAGGCCUUCGGGUCGUAAAGCUCUGUUGUUAGAGAAGAACAAGUACGAGAGUAACUGCUCGUACCUUGACGGUACCUAACCAGAAAGCCACGGCUAACUACGUGCCAGCCGCCGCCGUAAGAC